GAUAAAUCAUUCAAGUUUCUGCCCUAUCAGCUUUGGAUGGUAGUGUAUUGGACUACCAUGGCAGUCACGGGUAACGGAGAAUUAGGGUUCGAUUCCGGAGAGGGAGCCUGAGAAACGGCUACCACAUCUACGGAAGGCAGCAGGAGCGAAAAUUGCCCAAUCCCGACACGGGGAGGCAGUGACGAGAAAUAACAACUCUUGGUUAUUCUAAGAAGUGUAAUGAGGAUAAUUUAAAACCCUUACCGAAAGCAAUGGGAGGGCAAGUCUGGUGCCAGCAGCCGCGGUAAUUCCAGCUCCAAUAGCGUAUAUUAAAGUUGUUGCAGUUAAAAAGCUCGUAGUUGAAGUUCUGGCUGCUUGACCCUCGAGCUCUGUAGCCGAGGGCUCAGCAGUCAUCCGCUUGCAAAUAUAUGUUCGCCUUUAACCGGGCGGCUAUAUGAGUAAGCAUUUUACCUUGAGAAAAACAGAGUGUUCCAGGCAGGUUUGUCCGGAAUGCAUUAGCAUGGAAUAAUAGAAUAUGACUGAAGUCGAUUUAUUGGUUUGAGGCUUUAGUAAUGAUUAAUAGGAACAGUCGGGGGCAUUGGUACUUGCCAGUCAGAGGUGAAAUUCUAGGAUUUGACAAAGACUAACAAAUGCGAAAGCAUUUGCCAAGGAUGUUUUCAUUAAUCAAGAACGAAAGUUAGGGGAUCAAAGACGAUCAGAUACCGUCCUAGUCUUAACUAUAAACUAUACCGACUCGGAUUCAGAUGAAUCAUAAAGUUCAUUUGGGACCGUAGGAGAAAUCAAAGUUUUUGGGUUCUGGGGGAAGUAUGGUCGCAAGGCUGAAACUUAAAGGAAUUGACGGUUUUGCACCACCAUGGAGUGGAGUCUGCGGCUUAAUUUGACCCAACACUGGGAAACUCAUCAGGGCAAGAAGAUUGUAGGAUUGACAGAUUGAGAGUUCUUUCUUGAUUGGUCUAGUGGUGGUGCAUGGCCGUUCUUAGUUGGUGGAGUGAUUUGUCUGGUUAAUUCCGUUAACGAACGAGACCUUAACCUGCUAACUAGUACACCGAUGACAAAUCGGUGAUACUUCUUAGAGGGACUAUGUGAUGUAAUCACAUGGAAGUUUGAGGCAAUAACAGGUCUGUGAUGCCCUUAGAUGUCCUGAGCUGCACGCGUACUACAAUGGUGCUUUCAUCGAGCUUUUCCUGAUCCGAAAGGAUUUGGGUAAUCUUUUUAGUGAGCACCGUGCUUGGGAUAGAUCUUUGUAAUUAUGGAUCUUGAACUAGGAAUUCCUAGUAAGCACGUGUCAUCAGCACGU
rnacentral:rRNA from 1 species